rnacentral:piRNA from 1 species
UGGUAAAUUUCAGUUUGUCCAUGGUAGGCUCG